rnacentral:lncRNA from 1 species
UAACCGAGAUUUUCAGUAAUAAGAAUUAAACCCUUUGUUGAUAAUGUUUUUAUGUGUAAUAUAAUUACAUAAGCACUCGUCAAAUUUCAGAUGAAAACAAGUUAAGAUGGAGAAGUUAUGCGACCGGAACCGAUAACUUAAAGUGAAUAGUAACUCCGGCUUUUCGGAGAAGCCAGUGAGUAGAAGACGGUUCUGGUGCA